rnacentral:rRNA from 1 species
UAACGACUCUCGGCAACGGAUAUCUCGGCUCUCGCAUCGAUGAAGAACGUAGCGAAAUGCGAUACUUGGUGUGAAUUGCAGAAUCCCGUGAACCAUCGAGUCUUUGAACGCAAGUUGCGCCCGAAGCCGUUAGGUUGAGGGCACGCCUGCCUGGGCGUCACGC